GAGUUUGAUCCUGGCUCAGAUUGAACGCUGGCGGCAUGCUUUACACAUGCAAGUCGAACGGUAACAGGGUGCUUGCACCGCUGACGAGUGGCGAACGGGUGAGUAAUAUAUCGGAACGUACCUGGUAAUGGGGGAUAACUAUCCGAAAGGAUAGCUAAUACCGCAUACGCCCCGAGGGGGAAAGUGGGGGACUCGCAAGAGCCUCACGUUAUCAGAGCGGCCGAUAUCAGAUUAGCUAGUUGGUGAGGUAAAGGCUCACCAAGGCAACGAUCUGUAGCGGGUCUUAGAGGACGAUCUGCCACACUGGAACUGAGACACGGUCCAGACUCCUACGGGAGGCAGCAGUGGGGAAUAUUGCACAAUGGGCGCAAGCCUGAUGCAGCCAUGCCGCGUGUGUGAAGAAGGCCUUCGGGUUGUAAAGCACUUUCAGCGAGGAGGAAGGCAGUCGUGUUAAUAGCACGGUUGAUUGACGUUACUCGCAGAAGAAGCACCGGCUAACUCCGUGCCAGCAGCCGCGGUAAUACGUAGGGUCCAAGCGUUAAUCGGAAUUACUGGGCGUAAAGGGUGCGCAGGUGGUUUAUUAAGUGUGAUGUGAAAGCCCCGGGCUCAACCUGGGAAUUGCAUUGCAAACUGGUAAACUAGAGUAUGGCAGAGGGGGGUGGAAUUCCGCGUGUAGCAGUGAAAUGCGUAGAGAUGCGGAGGAACACCGAUGGCGAAGGCAACCCCCUGGGCUAAUACUGACACUCAUGCACGAAAGCGUGGGGAGCAAACAGGAUUAGAUACCCUGGUAGUCCACGCC
rnacentral:rRNA from 1 species